UAUAAGUUUAAUCGUUUAUCGAGAAACCGCGAACGGCUCAUUACAAUGGCCAUGAUUUACUUGAUCUUGAUUAUCUAAAUGGAUAACUGUGGAAAAGCUAGAGCUAAUACAUGCACUAAAGCUUUGUCCUUACGGGAAAGCGCAUUUAUUAGAACAAAACCACGCGGCUUCGGCUGCUUCUUGUUGACUCAGAAUAACUAAGCUGACCGCAUGGCCUUGUGCCGGCGGCGUGUCUUUCAAGCGUCCACUUUAUCAACUUGACGGGAGCAUAAUUGACUCCCGUGGUGGUGACGGAUAACGGAGGAUCAGGGUUCGACUCCGGAGAAGGGGCCUGAGAAAUGGCCACUACGUCUAAGGAUGGCAGCAGGCGCGCAAAUUACCCACUCUCGGCUCGAGGAGGUAGUGACGAGAAAUAACGAGAUCGUUCUCUUUGAGGCCGGUCAUCGGAAUGGGUACAAUUUAAACCCUUUAACGAGUAUCAAGCAGAGGGCAAGUCUGGUGCCAGCAGCCGCGGUAAUUCCAGCUCUGCUAAUACAUAGAAUUAUUGCUGCGGUUAAAAAGCUCGUAGUUGGAUUCGUAUCGGUACCCUGGAACCCUCCGGGUGUUUCUGGGUGUUAUCGAUUUAUCGUAAUGUUCGGUUUUGAGUCCUUAACAGGAUUUUUAACAGGCAUUGCAAGUUUACUUUGAACAAAUCAGAGUGCUUAAAACAGGCGUUUUAGCUUGAAUGAUCGUGCAUGGAAUAAUAGAAAAUGAUUUUGGUUCUGUUUUAUUGGUUUUACGGACUGAGAUAAUGGUUAACAGAGACAAACGGGGGCAUUUGUAUGGUCCCGUGAGAGGUGAAAUUCUUGGACCGUGGCCAGACAAACUACAGCGAAAGCAUUUGCCAAGAAUGUUUUUAUUAAUCAAGAACGAAAGUCAGAGGUUCGAAGGCGAUCARAUACCGCCCUAGUUCUGACCGUAAACGAUGCCAACUAGCGAUCCGCCGAUGGAAAUUAUAUUGCCUUGGUGGGGAGCUUCCCGGAAACGAAAGUCUUCCGGUUCCGGGGGAAGUAUGGUUGCAAAGCUGAAACUUAAAGGAAUUGACGGAAGGGCACCACCAGGAGUGGAGCCUGCGGCUUAAUUUGACUCAACACGGGGAAACUCACCCGGCCCGGACACUGUGAGGAUUGACAGAUUGAUAGCUUUUUCAUGAUUCAGUGGAUGGUGGUGCAUGGCCGUUCUUAGUUCGUGGAGUGAUUUGUCUGGUUUAUUCCGAUAACGAGCGAGACUCUAACCUACUAAAUAGUUGGUACAUACUCUUAGUGUAUACAGCUUCUUAGAGGGAUUUGCGGCGUUCAGCCGAAAGAAAUUGAGCAAUAACAGGUCUGUGAUGCCCUUAGAUGUCCGGGGCUGCACGCGCGCUACACUGGCAAAAUCAACGUGCUUGUCCUACCCUGAAAGGGGCGGGUAAACCAUUGAAAAUUUGCCGUGAUUGGGAUCGGAAAUUGCAAUUAUUUUCCGUGAACGAGGAAUUCCAAGUAAGUGCGAGUCAUCAGCUCGCGUUGAUUACGUCCCUGCCCUUUGUACACACCGCCCGUCGCUGCCCGGGACUGAGCCAUUUCGAGAAAUUUGGGGACCGUUGAUUUAAUUUUUCUAAAUUACUUUGAUGGAAACCAAUUUAAUCGCAGUGGCUUGAACCGGGC
rnacentral:rRNA from 1 species